GUGACUGAGCGGCGGACGGGUGAGUAACGCGUAGGGCAACCUGCCUCAUACAGGGGGAUAACAGUUAGAAAUGACUGCUAAUACCGCAUAAAGCGCACAUGACCGCAUGGUGUAAGUGUAGAAAAACUCCGGUGGUAUGAGAUGGACCCGCGUCUGAUUAUGUAGUUGGUGGGGUAAAAGGCCUACCAAGCCGACGAUCAGUAGCCGACCUGAGAGGGUGACCGGCCACAUUGGGACUGAGACACGGCCCAAACUCCUACGGGAGGCAGCAGUGGGGAAUAUUGCACAAUGGGGGAAACCCUGAUGCAGCGACGCCGCGUGAAGGAAGAAGUAUUUCGGUAUGUAAACUUCUAUCAGCAGGGAAGAAGAUGACGGUACCUGAGUAAGAAGCACCGGCUAAAUACGUGCCAGCAGCCGCGGUAAUACGUAUGGUGCAAGCGUUAUCCGGAUUUACUGGGUGUAAAGGGAGCGUAGACGGAUAGGCAAGUCUGGAGUGAAACCCAGGG
rnacentral:rRNA from 1 species